rnacentral:lncRNA from 10 species
GGGGCCCGUAGUCCUUCUGCGAGGGCGCGAGGACUCCAGGAGCCGUCCUGGUUCGAGCAUUUCUGAAGAAACUGAGUUCCCGGCGUUCGCAGCCUGGGAGUCACAGGCGCCCACCCACCGGUGUUGGAAGGGCAUGAGAAACAAGGGGAGAACAAGGGCACCCAAAGCCUGACCCCCACAAGGCUAGAGGAGCAACAGGAAAAUUCGUUUCCAGAGACUGAUUCCUCAGCUGCUGAGCAGGAGCCUGGAGCCACACUUGCUGCCUGGUACUACUGACACACAACUGGAACCACCGCUGUGGCCUGGGGUGCCACCAGAAGCCAGAGAUUAGAAUUGCUUUCCCCAUCUCAUAUCUUCCAAACUCCCACCAGUGCCUCCCACUGGCUGAGUCAGAUGACAAGGGAGUCUGGGAAAUGUAGUUGUUUGGCUUCCAGCCCUGACCAUGGAGAGUAUAGAAAGGCAGGUGUAGGGGAGAAAAUAGAUGCCAUUCACACAGCGCCUAUCUUGCAGGGCUGUUUUGAGGAGUAAAAACUCAGCCUAUUUUUAUUCCUCAUAGCAUGUAGUAGCAUUCAGGGAAAGGCAAAUCUUCCAAAACAAUAUCUUAGGUAUAAUAGUUCUACAUAAAGGUUUGAAUUUACCAUUAAAAGCAUCAAAAUGAGCAUUUUAAAAGUAGAAUUUUAAGUCUGAAUGGGCAGUAUAUUCACAUGGUAUAAAAUUCAAAUUACAAAACAAUAUACAGUGAAAAAUAAGGGGGUUUUUUUGCUCAUCUUCUUGUGACCUGGCUCUUUCCAUCUCUGUCCACAACCCUCUGCAGGCAAUAACUGGUACCUUUGUUAUGGAUCCUCUGCAGAUAUAAAGUAGACAUAUAUUAACAAAUGUUUUCUUUGGCCCAGAGGAUGCAUAUUAUGCACAUUCCUCCAUUUCUUGUUUGUUUUUGUUUUUUCCACUUAAUUGUAUCUUGGAGAUCACUCUGUAUCAGUAUAUAUCUGAUUUGUUUUAGCAGUACAUGAUAAUCCAUUGUUUGGAUAUGCCAUAAUUGUAUCAGCCAGUCUCUGGACAGUCUUUUACUAUUUCAAGGAGUGCUGCAGUAAACAUGUUUGCGCCACUUCCUGGUACCCAUUGCAAAUAAAACUGGGAUAAUUUCCUGACGAG